rnacentral:ribozyme from 1 species
UGCCCAGCAACUCCUAUCCCUACCUCCUCGCGGUACCGCCCGGAAACUAU